ACAGUGAGCAGGCCUCCUCCCACUAUAGUUACCCCCCCAGCCCGCCCUCGUCUUCCUACUACAGCUCGGUGGCACCCGGCCCCGGCAGCCUCCCCUCCAGCCAUCUCAACAAGGCUGUGGGCAUGCCUCCUGUGAGCCACUCUAACCUGUACCCAUCUGGUCUGGGGAUGAAGACUCCCAUUGGUGGUCACAAGCGUCUGAUCCCGUCUCCAGAGCCCAGCCCAGAAGGGGGCUACGUGGGACAACACUCCCAGGGCCUGGGGGGCCACUAUGCUGACUCCUACCUGAAACGCAAGCGUGUCUUCUAAUGUAAACCAAUCAAAGCUUCUUGUACGAUUUGCCAAUUAACAGCCAGGAUAUGGCUCUAUUUCCCCCAGGAGCUCCUCCAAUCAGCUUUUAGGUUUUGGGCUUGGCGGUCCAGUGUCUCUCACUUGUGUUCCUGCCAGCGAUUUCUCCCCCCCCCCCUGGAGGGCCCUGGGGUUGCAGCCUGUCGCUAAUCAGGACAUAACAAUGCGUGCCAGUGUAUGGGAGUUUUGAUGUGUUUUUUUUGUGUAAAUAUAUGAUUUCAGUGUGCUUGUAAAUGAAGUUUUAUCCUUUGAUUUUUAAUGUCUUUUUUUCUAUCAGGAAAUCCCUUUGUUUAAAAAUGGGGAGUUACCUUGUACUAUAAGAAAAUAAUUGUAAAAUCUGAUUUCAGGUCUUUUUUUCCUCUGCGUAUUCCCUUCAUUGGUUGGCUGAGCGCUUUUUAUUUAAAUUUUUAUAUUUUGUAUUAGUUYUUUCUUCCUGUUGUGAUGGUGUCAACGGGUUUCUAUUUUUAAAAGCUUUUCCUCCCARUAUUUUUGUAUAUAUUUCAUUAGUUUGAUGGGAWGUUUUUUUUCUUCMCGCUCCUUCCUCCUACAGGGAUUAUGUACUGACUGUCUGGACAGGAUUCAGGCCUUCGAUUCAUGUAGAUCUGUGUAGCAGUACUGCCUUUGUCUUUUGUCCUUUGGAAAAACUGUCCCCUUACCAAAAAACUAGUCUGGAAUAUGCUGUUKUCAACCCUUUACUCUUCCACCCCUCCAUCUCAUUUGGGAGCCCGUUCUCUGCACUGAAUGUUUGGUGUUGCACUUGGAGGACACGGGUGGGUCACAAUUCUCCAGGUUUGUUGCAUUUCUAYUGUUCUCACCACUUUUUUAUUUUUACCCCCCAUUCUGUUCUCUGCAGAAUCUUGUAUAUUCUGUUUUGACGUGAGCUCUUUGUCGGCUGAGUAUUUGCAUCUCAACCACCAUGGCACCUGAUUUGCUCUCGUUCGUUUGGAGGGGRUGGUAGCWGUGCCUUAUCCAGACUUUAAUAUCUACAGAUUAUAACAGUAAGUGGCCUCUGUUCACCCAAGCCUAAACAUUAAUUAACUGUACUUUCAUUUAUUAAUGAGCCAUGGCUAGGUUGGCUCUCCUGUGGCUGGCUGUCCCUCCCCUGUAGACCAGCAGGGGGGGCUGUUUAUCCUCAGGCAAAACUGAAAUUAAAUCAAGCUUGACAGUUUCACACUGAUGGUUGACAAACUGAAACMGGUUGUAGAAUUUWUAWCCAGUUUUCCAGUCCAGRAGAAGUUGACUUCCUAUCUGAAGUGUUACURUGAUGGGAGUGUCCAGUGACUCUUAACAGGUGUUUACUCGGUCUGCCUCGAAGGUUUGCAUGGAAAUUAAGCUUAUGAUUGGUCAGUGAUUGAGUUCUUAGUCUGUGAAGAAUAAUCUGGUUGACAUUUUGAUCGUGAUCACCAUUACCUCUUGACUUCUGAUGGGAACUGCAAUUACACUUGAGCCUUAAGUUUUUUUUCUUUUUCUGUCAUCUCAUCUUCCCCUCUGUGGGCUUUUUGACUACAUCCCAUUGUUUUUUGCCGAGUACAUACUUUAAAGCUUGAUCAUUUCCUCGGAGUCCUAAACUCUUGUUUUCUCAAUCAUAUCUUUGGCCUCUGGUCUGUUUUAAGAUUGAAUCUGCUGCUCAAUAUUUUGUGUGUUUUUAGUGACCAUUACCAAGUGCAGCCACCUGUCUAAUGGUAGAUUUCCCCAUGUUCUGUAUAGACCAAUAGGUGCUGCUGUAUGAUAUGAAUGAAGAUUGCUUUUGUUUUUCCUCAUACAUGCUGUCUGUCAUCUGUACUGCGAUAUGUGUCUGUUUUGGAGCAAGUAAAUGUUAUUUAAUUAA